CACAUGUUUCUGUGAACAAACCUUCUUAGAGUGGCUGCUGAUGCCACUGUCUAUAAAGAGCCAUACAUACAGGUCUCAUAUGGGUGUCAUUGAAACCAAAACCAAUUAAGAAACAUCUGCAGACAACUGAAUGCUGUCAAGUGUGAACAAUGAAAUUUCUUCCAAGAGAAGAGAGCGAGCAGAGCACACUCUCAACAAGUCUGGGAAAGCUUCAUCCAAACAAAAGCCCUGUUUUUUGUCUUCACUGUAGCUUCCAGCAUCUCGCAACUUGGCUCUGAAGAGCACUGUGAACCAAGGCAGAGUUGCCCCAGUCUUUGCAAUCAGCAACACUAAUUAAGUUUAGCCCACUGACAGCUAGCCUGGUUAAAAUAUUUCAUCAAUGUAGGAGCAUGAAGCAAUGAUUGCUUGCUUAUGAAGAUAUUUUAGUUUAAACUGUUUUUUUUUUGUUGUUUUUUUUUUUUUAAAAAAAAAAAAAAAAUUCUCACUAUCUCACUAGAGAGCCUCAUAAAGGUUAUAUGAAGACAUUUUCCCUAUCUCUAACCUAAUUUAAUUUCUUUUAUGCUCAAUUUCAAGUCACCGGGAUUGCCAUGUUUCUUUAUGGGACAAUUAUAAUAACCCCAUAAGGUUUUAUUGCCUUAAUGUACAGGUAUAUAUUCUCAACACUAUAGUUUAAUAUGUAUUUUUAAAUAACUAAUAUGUAAUAUAGAUGGGCAUGUGGUGAAGGAGAGAAAUUGGACAUCAGGAAGAUCUCUGAGGGAAAAGUAUCUGGUCUGCAUUCCUGGCCUCCUGGUCACAGUGGCCAAGAUGGGUUAGACCUGAAAAAAUUGGUAGCGCCAAUUUCCCAGCUUGUACCUACUGGCAGAACAGACUUUAACAGGGUGUUGGAAACCAGCUAUAUGAGAAUUUUAUGAGGGAAAGUAGUGGGCUGUUUUUUUGUGUUGGCAAGUGUGAAGAUAAGAAAGUCAGUUUGCCUUUCUUUAUGAAGGAUGAUACUCACAAAAUCCUUAUGCUGUUGGGAAUUGUCACUUGACAGAAAAUAAAAGCAAACCCCACCAUUGCCUUGGUAAGGCCUCAGAGGUUAAUGCUGCCAGUACCUGUAAGCACUACGAAUGCAUGCAACCCAGCUCUGAAGCCCCGAGCUUUGCACUGCUGCUGCACUGGCUGUCACCACACAGGGGUCUGCACAGACUGUCCAAAUGCAGUCCUGAGUGAGUUAUUUUGCAUCAGACUGUGUAAAAACCCCAUUGUUACCCAUCACUUCACAUACACGUGCUCUGGGUGCAGGGCAGCUCCAGGAACCACAGCGUGGACCUGCCUGGAGGGAGCUGAGCAUUGCGGAGUCUGUGGCUUCACAGCGAACGUGCUGCCCUUCCUUUUUUCUGGGCAGAAAUAGGAAGCCUUUGCUAUUCUGUUUACAAAUGCAAUGUUUUCCUUUUCUGUAUCACAAAAGAGCAGAUACGGACAUGACAGCCCCGUGCUCCACAGGCUUAUUUUUCCUCAGGCAGGUGCUACCUGAGCUCUUGAUCCCACCGGUAUGGCCGCAAAAGGUGUCAUUAAUUACAGUAGAAAACAACAACAACAACAGUAGCAAUUACUUACAGAUAAUGGAAGAUGCAGGAAGACAACUGCCACAGAUGAAGCAACUACCUGGCUGGGUAGCUCAGAUAUUUUACAGCACUUCCCAGGAGGGAAAAAGCCUUUAACUGCACUGCUGAUUGCCUUGGGCAAGAUCAAUGAGAGGCAGAAGGCCUAUCUCUGGGAGCCUAAAUUGACAGGAGCACUAAAUUUGUCACUGAGGCCUCUGACUGUUUUUCAGAGAAAGAAAAUUCAGAUCAAUGCAGCAAGAACUGUUUGCACAGCAGAUUUUUUCACAUGGGGUAUCGAGACACUACAAAAUUUGUGCAAUACCAUCUCGAAACAGCACGGAAUAAUGUUUAUGGAAUUCCAUAAGCAUGGGAUUAUGUGUAUGAACCAAGCAGAUGCUAAAGCAUAAAAUUAAUAACCCAGUCAAUUUAUUAACAGUCAGUAUUUUUGCAUUUCCCCCCUUUCUUUUUGCCUUGUAGCUAUGGGAAUUGCCCAUCCAUAAUAGGCAUUCAUUUUAAUAAAAAAUUCUUCCUUUUCUGUUCUA